rnacentral:rRNA from 2 species
GACGUUCCUGUAAUUGUGUCAGCGGCUGACGGGUGAGUACACGUGGCACUGCCGUGACGGGAUAACUCCGGGAAACCGAGCUAAUACCGGAUAACACCGAGACCGCAUGGUCUUUGGUUGAAAGGCGCUUUGUGUCACUUGCGAUGGGCCCCCGGAUUAGACUAGAUUGGUGAGGUACCGCUCCACCAGGCGACGAUGCGUAGACCGCCUGAGAAGGUGACCGCCCCACUGGACUGACACGCCCCGACUCCUACGGGAGCCGCCGUAGGGAUCCUUCCGCAAUGGGCGAACGCCUGACGGAGCCACACCGCGUGAGAAAGAAGACCUUCGGUCGUAAAGAUCUGGUGUGAGGACAAAAGAGCCCCUUCGAAGAGGACCGCCCGUGGAGUACCCCCGAGGAGCCCGGUAACUAAUGCCCGCAGCCCGGAAUACGUACAGGGCGAGAGUUGUCCCGAUAUUAGGCUAAAGCACGCAGGCGUUCUAAAGUUGAUGAGAAGCACAGUCACACUGGGGUUUUUGAACUACGCGUUUGCUGCCGAAAGCAGCGUUCCCUGAGGCCGAUAGUGAGUUGGGGCACACUCGGGGAGAGUUUUGCGCAUGAUCUGAGCACGUGGGGACAGUUAGUACUGGUGCCUCCCUGGGUGUUGGCUCCCUUGUGGAAGGAUGCGUCCUGGGGGUGG